AGCAUUGUAUAUUGGCUUCAUGGGUGUAAGAGAGGAUGUAGUUCCACCUGUGCCGUGUUAUGGUGUGCUAUGAAUGUGUUACUGAUGGCGGUGCCAUGUAUCUGUGGCCUUUUAAUAUGUUGCAAAUAUGCGGUUCCAUCUUAAAUUAUUCUGUGUGUUUAAAAGGGUGAUAAAACAUCAAUCCAAUUGUCCCCCAGAACAAGGACAG